rnacentral:lncRNA from 1 species
UCUUGUUGAACUUUGAUGUUUUUAAAGCUACAUUACACUCGUUUUUUUGUAUAUUCCCCUCAAGAGAGUACAUUCUUACUGAGAGGAAAAAUAGCUAUAGUGGAGGAACCAGGGGUCUAUAACUCUGGUCUAGCUACAUCCAGCCAGAUAUUACAUACUAGUAGGACAGAAACAAAACUUUUGAAAAGUGCUGACAUAUUUUGGUUGCAGGUUUUCACUAAAUACCAAGAAGGGUGUUGCAGCUUUUAUUCCGUGUUUUUCUUGCUAUCAACAGUUGAUCCUACGAGCAACGACAGUUUUAGCUACAAAUGUUUAGCGCCUCGUCUUGCAACUAGUAGUUGAUAUUCUAGGUUUUUAAAUUUAAAAUUGGAAUCAACUGUCUGAGAUGUCGUUACCCCUGGCAGCCGGGGCAGGCGGGGGGCGCUAACGUCUGCUAACGUCAAAAUUGUCUAUUUCCCCCCGUCAGCUAAGGAGUACAAAGUACCUAUAUAAUAGUCUUUCUUUUCCUCUUAGUAUCACCUUAGUUAGACUUGUAGUUACUUGUCUCAUCAUUCUCGAUUUACACAACGACGACAUAUUGUGUUGCACGUUUCUUCGCUGUUUUAUUGUCCUUUGUAUAGAGCGUAAGUCCUUCUAAUAGACUAACAUAUCUGCAACCAAGGAUCUGCUUAGGGAGAGUGAGACGUCAGCAAAUACAACAACAGAAUCAUAUCCAAAUUGUAGCACGAAACUUGUACAGCUGUGAUACCUCCCAAACACCUAUGCAGUUUGGAAUGCUUGUCAGGCGAAUGCAGAUUAAUGUAAAAGAUGUCAAAUGUUAGACAUGUGGAAAAGGCCUGAUAGGAUGUGUGGGCGCCUUCGGUAACAUAGAUUGGAACAUAAGAUUUUUCAUGUUGGCUACACCAAGGCAGUAAUAACUGUGCUGCAAACAAUCUGCAAAACAUGCUUGUCUGUCCAUCUCAGUGAUGAGAUGACAAAUUUGUUGAGUAAAUCUGACUAAGGAAGCAAAUCUGAGAAGUGUUCCUAAAAGUAACUUGUCCCAGUGUGAUUUUCAUAGCAAUCCAUCAUUUGUUCCAAAGAUUUUUUUAUGAAGCUACAACAUAGAAGGUCUUGACCCAGUAAGCAUCAUACGGGGAGCUCCUAUGUAUGAAAGGAACUUUCUUCAGUAUUGAUACUGAGAUAAAUGACUUUGUUCUCAUCAACUUUCAGUUUAAAGAAACCAUUAACUCCUCAAAGACCACAAGUACACCUGUUACCACCACCUGGUUCCAAAUCAAUGAUUGCUUGGAUUCUAGAAAAAAACAAUGCUCGGUAAAGUAAAUUUUACAGUUGCCAACCACAAUAGUUCCGCACUGUAAUAAAAUCUCGGUCAGUGACUCGGUGACUAGGUAGCAUAAUGAGGUCAGAAGAUUGCCCAACAUCUAUGGAAAAAUGACUUGAUUGAUGAACCAGCUAUAUUUAACAGGUUGGCUUUAUUGGAGAACUGUUAAACAUUUGAUAUUCAUAAUGUUCGCAAGGCUUUUAAGAAAAUAGUUUUCAUUGCACUGGCGACAAUUCGGAAUGGCGAGGUGCGAAUGAAUCGGAUUAAAAGUCAGCGUGGAAAUGCAAUAGUUCCGCAGCUGGCAAGAAAUGAGAGGACGAUUGGUGAUGAGACAAUUUAUUCUAAUCGCUGUAACUCAUGGACACGUCGACAUUCGUGGUAAUCAAACUUAGAACGUCUGCAAUGCGAAAUUUUUCACCAAUAUAAAGGAAAGCUGCAAACAUAUUUUCAGCAUUUUUAAUAAAAAAAUAAGCGCGUUCAUUCCCUUCAACCAAUUGUUAACGCGAGGCCCCGUAGGAACCUUCCAUACGUCACUGUUAUUGUAGCUGACAGUGACUGUAAUUAUGGCUUACUUAGCCCAUGCUUAUCCAGAGCUGCCUUCUUGAUCCCCGCCCUAAAAACUAUCAUCUUCAAAAGCUUCCAGGUUUGUUGUGGUCGUAGAACAGCAGACGACGAAGUUCAAAGCGGCAUUGUACCAUCGGGCAGAAUCCAAACGGUUGAUGCAUUGAAAAUGUCGGAGCUCUGUUGAUGAAUUUUCACCAGCACUCUUCCACAAGACGCGCGCGAAGCAAACGAUAGCAAAGGAGAUAUGGACUUGAAUUGGUUGUUUACCACCCGUGGCUUUCCCGCAUCCCAGGAUUAGUCUUGUACACCUUUUGCACUUGUACAGAGCGUUCGGGAACGAAAUUAGUUGUGGAUGGGUUUGCUGUUGACAAGCAAGGGAAGGAUUUUUACUACCAAACUAGAUAGGAAUGAAAUUUGUUGUGGCUGGUUUGGUUGUUGACAAGCAAGGGAAGGAUUUUUUUACCAAAGUAGACAGGAUAUUUAUUCUUAAUCCCACAAUGUCUUGACUACAAAUCAUGCUGAAUUAGAAUAGUAUGUUGAUCGAGGCUGGGUGCCAAAGCAAUGGAUGAUAAUUGUAAGCGCGAUUGGAAAUAUCCAUGAUUUAUUAACGUUCUCUCAUGUUACGGUAUUUUAUUAAAGACAAAUUGAAGUGUA